rnacentral:rRNA from 1 species
GACGCUGAGGAACGAAAGCCGGGGGAGCAAAUGGGAUUAGAUACCCCAGUAGUCCCGGCCGUAAACGAUGAACACUAGGUGUUGCGGGUAUCGACCCCUGCAGUGCCGCAGCUAACGCAAUAAGUGUUCCGCCUGGGGAGUACGCACGCAAGUGUGAAACUUAAAGGAAUUGACGGGGACCCGCACAAGCGGUGGAACAUGUGGUUUAAUUCGAAGCAACGCGAAGAACCUUACCAGGACUUGACAUUGAUAGAAUCCUGAUGAAAGUCGGGAGUGCCCUUCGGGGAACUUGAAAACAGGUGGUGCACGGUUGUCGUCAGCUCGUGUCGUGAGAUGUUGGGUUAAGUCCCGCAACGAGCGCAACCCUCGUCGUUAGUUGCUCAUAUCGGUACACUGAUAUUGAGCUCUCUAGCGAGACUGCCGAUGAUAAAUCGGAGGAAGGUGAGGACGACGUCAAAUCAUCAUGCCCCUUACGUUCUGGGCUACACACGUGUUACAAUGGCUGGUACAACGAGCAGCAAACUCGCGAGAGUAAGCAAAUCUCUUAAACCCGGUCUCAGUUCGGAUUGGACUCUGCAACCCGAGUCCAUGAAGUCGGAA